CCCUUAGAUGUUCUGGGCCGCACGCGUGCUACACUGAGUGGAUCAGCGGGUCAGGUUGCGCGAAAGCGUUUCCUAAUCUUUAAAUCCGCUCGUGAUGGGGAUUGACGGUUGCAAUUUUCUGUCAUGAACGAGGAAUACCUUGUAAGCGCGGGUCAUCAUCCCGCGCUGAAUACGUCCCUGCUCUUUGUACACACCGCCCGUCGCUCCUACCGAUUGAGUGGUCCGGUGAGGCUUUGGGAUCUGAGCGGAAAGAGCGUUUCGCUGUUUCUGCUCGGAAAACUCAGUCGAACCUUAUCAUUUAGAGGAAGGAGAAGUCGUAACA
rnacentral:rRNA from 1 species